rnacentral:lncRNA from 1 species
GUCACUCUGAGUCGCCGCAUGCCGGGCUCCUUCUCUCGCUGCUGGUUCGGGUGUUGGGGCCUGGUCCCGCUUGCAAAAGCUCCCACGGACCAGAGAAAAGAGGAGGAUGUCAGACGUAGAAACAAAUGGCGUGUCAAGUUUCGCAGGAAGAGAGGGAAGAGUGAAGCUCCGGGAGCCAGCCACGAUUAGUCGCGCCUUCUGUGACGUCCAAUGGCAGAGGUCAAAGGGAUUCCUGGGGCAACCUCGAGGGAAAGAAUUCUGGCUCCGAGGGCCGGUGUACAGUGCUUUAAAUAUGGCAGUGGUUAUGUGUGAAAUUAUCGUGUUUUUCUGUUUAACCUGUUUCUUGUCUCUUCAUCGCCUUUCUAUAUAAUGUAAGACCAGAGGCUUUAUGUAGUGAAUUCCCUGUAACCCCGGCUGCUUGGACAGAUAGGUAUUCAAGUAUUUGUUUCUUGAAGUAAUCCUCUGAAUUAACUUGCUCACAUGUAAAAAAUAAUAACGGGCUGGGAAACGCCAGUAAUAGCCGCCAAACGUUUGUUAGACAUUUACAGUGUGCCAGGGACUGCAUUUUACGUGUAUUAUCACAUUCCUCAGAACAGCCUAAUGAGGUAUAUAUUACUAGAAUGCCUAUUUUUCAGAUGAGGAAACUGAUGCAUAGAAAGGAUAAUUUACUCAAGAGCGAGGAAGUAGCAAGCAUAAAAUCCAAGUACAUUUUUUUCUGCAUGUAUUAAUAGGUACAAUGAAGUAACUUUUUAAAUUGCUGUAGGUAUCAAUCAUAGUCUUAAUUCCCAGUAAUUCACUUACUAAGAAAUAUUUUCUGCUUCUCUUUCAUCAUUCAUGGGAGAGAUACAUAUCCCUAAAUAUUUUGCACAUUUAAAACUUAAACUUGGGUAUGGUGGCUUAUGCCUGUAAUCACGGCGUUUUGGGAGGCUCAGGUGGGAGGAUUGCUUGAGUCCAGGAGUUCCAGGCCAGCCUGGGCCACAUAGUAAGACCCCGUAUCUACAAAAAAUAAAAAAAAAAUUAACCGGGCAUGGUAGUGUCUCUGUAGUACUAGCUACUCGGGAGGCUGAGGUGGUAGGAUCACUGGCGCCCAGCAAUUCCAGCCUGCAGUUAGGAUUACCACACUGCACUUCAGCCUGAGCGGCAGAAUGGGACCAUGUCUGAAAAAAUAAAUAAAAAAUAAAACUUGCAGCCUUAAACUUCAUCUGCAAAAAUGUUUUGUGGCAGGUGACUCUGAAGCAGAACUCUUGAGAUGGAAGGAUUGUCAUCUGAGGAAAAAAAAUCAAGAUUAAGAGAGGAGGAACUAGAAUGAGAUUCACAUACCGUCUCUCCUCCAAGGGAAGGAGAGAGUGGUGAUGCCUGCCCACUCCUUCCUGGGCAGAACAUUUGUAGCAUGGAACAUUGGAGAAUUUGCAGUCUGCUGACUUUCUGAUUUAGGAGGUUGAUGGGGAGGCCUUAUAAUUUGCAUUUCUAACAAGUUCUGAGGUGAUGCUUCAAGUAUGUCCAGGCAGAAGGGCUGCCUCACAGAGAAUUCUGCCAUACCACAUGGGAAUUGAAGUCACAGACAUCUCUAACCCUCAAGCCUGAAACCAAAAGACUGAAAACCAACACUACAGUGGACAAAGAACAUCUCUGAACUUGUG